rnacentral:rRNA from 1 species
UGGAGGCAGCAGUGAGGAAUAUUGGUCAAUGGACGAGAGUCUGAACCAGCCAAGUAGCGUGAAGGAUGACUGCCCUAUGGGUUGUAAACUUCUUUUAUACGGGAAUAAAGUGAGGCACGUGUGCCUUUUUGUAUGUACCGUAUGAAUAAGGAUCGGCUAACUCCGUGCCAGCAGCCGCGGUAAUACGGAGGAUCCGAGCGUUAUCCGGAUUUAUUGGGUUUAAAGGGAGCGUAGGCGGACGCUUAAGUCAGUUGUGAAAGUUUGCGGCUCAACCGUAAAAUUGCAGUUGAUACUGGGUGUCUUGAGUACAGUAGAGGCAGGCGGAAUUCGUGGUGUAGCGGUGAAAUGCUUAGAUAUCACGAAGAACUCCGAUUGCGAAGGCAGCCUGCUGGACUGUAACUGACGCUGAUGCUCGAAAGUGUGGGUAUCAAACAGGAUUAGAUACCCUUGUAGUCCU